AAGGGCGUUAAAUGAAGACUUAG
rnacentral:miRNA from 1 species